rnacentral:snRNA from 1 species
AGCUUUGUGCAGUGACAGUAUCGUAGCCAACAAGGUUAAUCCGAGGUGCAGUUAUUGCUAAUUGAAACAUAUUCAUAACAGCAGGCCUAAGCUGCUUUGUAGAAGCCAUGCUCUGACCAGAAUAUCACAUC